rnacentral:rRNA from 1 species
UACGUAGGUGGCAAGCGUUGUCCGGAAUUAUUGGGCGUAAAGCGCGCGCAGGCGGUCCUUUAAGUCUGAUGUGAAAGCCCACGGCUCAACCGUGGAGGGUCAUUGGAAACUGGGGGACUUGAGUGCAGAAGAGGAAAGUGGAAUUCCACGUGUAGCGGUGAAAUGCGUAGAGAUGUGGAGGAACACCAGUGGCGAAGGCGACUUUCUGGUCUGUAACUGACACUGAGGCGCGAAAGCGUGGGGAGCAAACAGG